AUAGAAAAACCAUAAACUUGAGAUUCUUAUGUUGGUGUCAGUGUCAGCUGUCCUAGCUGAGUUUGAGUGGGUUUGGGUUAGCAGACCUUCUGCUAUGAAUACUUAUCUAAGUUAAGUCAUAGUAUUGCGAAUUCACCAAGACAACAGUCUUGAUUAACUGAUUUACAGAUACCCAAGUGCUACAGUGAUUAACUUUUGAGGUAAACAUUCCUGUCACUGUGGAGAAGGCAUUAUCACUUUCCAGCUCUGGUUUGUAAUAUCGAGGUCUCACAGCACAGGUGCCUGGUAUACAUAUAUAUGCAUAUACAUGUGUAUGUUUUGCAUAUAUGUUUUGUACAUAUAUAUACAUAUAUAUGUUUUGCAAUAUCCUCAUUUCAUUCCAUGCUUUAUAAAAAUAGGAUUUUUUUUCUAGUUCUCUAUUCAAGCAUUUUGUUUAGGAAGAAGUUUAUCAUUCUAUUGUAUAUACUUUUAAUAAAUAUUCUAUUGAAAAAUGGGUAGGGAAGUGUAGAAAUGACAAGUCCCUGAGUUGUUGGGGGGCGUUGGUAAGGUCAGAGCUGCCGCCUCAGCCCUCAUGGCGCCUCAAGCAGCUCAGCCAGAACGGAUGGAUGAAAUGUUACUGGUGACUGGCACGUUUCUCUUAAGCUGCUCUGGGGCUUGCAGAUGGAGACGGGAAGCGCCUGCAGUCCGGACUCCGGAGCUCUGCCCGCGUUGCCGUGUGAGGUGAGGCGGGACCCCUCCAGAGCCCGCCGAUCUCGGCACCAGAGAGCGCUUCCUCGGCCCGGCCGGGCGCCUCGGCGGGGCCCUCAGGGCGGCUCUGCGCGCACCGCCGGCUGAGGGCGGCUCGCCGCGCUCUCCUCAGGAAAACCGGGGCAACCUGCCCCAGCUGACAGCUUGUUUUCCUUUUUGAAUGAGCCUGGAAACAAGUAACAAGGAAUGUACUUGCCUCAAUGUCUCAGUACAACUUCAGACAGAGAGACUGUGCUUCUAUAGUGCCUUUUUGCAACGAGAAUGAAAACUGGCCAUGAAAGAAGAUAAUUAUGCUGCAGCCUGGCAAGGGUCUUAAUUUGGAUAAUGUGGACUCUAGAUACUAAAGGAGGUAAGUUUUUUUAGAGUUCUGUAUUUCUAAGUUCAAAUAAAUGGCAAAUAAACU